CACAGAGCCUGAUGCGGGGCUCGAACCCACAAACUGUGAGAUCAUGGCCUGAGCCGAAGUCAGAUGCCUAACCAACUGAGCCACCCAAGCGCCCAACCUAACUUCAAUUUUAAAGACAGGAAGAUAAAAACCUUUUCCCACACUGCAUGUGGAAAUGAGUCAGCUUCAUUUCAGCCCAGGAAACAUUUAUUCUGUGUCUACUGUCUACCUACCAGAUAUUACAACAUGGUCAAUAUACAAACAAGAAAUCAAAUAUCAUGGGGCAAGUGUUUUAAAUAAACAAGGAAUGUGUCUAGAAGGGUGUAAGACAAAAUUGCCAAAGGUUUAUACUGCAGAGUAAGAUUACAUGACGUUUUCUCAUUUUGCUUGUCUAUUCUCAAAUGUGUACUGUGAUAUAUAUUUGUGUGAAUGUGUGUGUGUGUGUGUGUGUCCCUUAUAUGACAUUCCUAUCCACAUUUGAUCCUCAACCUCCUUUGUAACCUUUAUUUCUGCUUUCUCUCUCCACAAUUCAUAUAUCCUCUGAUUAAUAGUAUAUUUGUGGGAAGGAGCAUUUUGUACAUCAGUUUUUGACUCUAUUUCCUAUCCCUGCUGAUGGCCUGCUAUUGUCAAUUUAAAUAUCACCUGCUUCAAACAGUCCCACAUUAUGUGUGAAAACCUCUCUGACCCUGAAUUCCUAAACCCUUAUUUCUCUCAGUGCUGAGCAUUUUGUGGUACGGUGUCUUGCAUUGCUAUUUUACUUAAUACCUUACCCUAUAUGGUACUUUACUUUCAUAACAAUUUUACAUAAAUUAUCAUAUUUCAUUCUGUGAAAUAAGGUAGAUAUGAUCUCUGUCUUCUGUGCGGGAAAAGAGCAGUGUUAAGUGACUUGCUUACACUUCUGAGGAGCCAAGGCCAAGAACAUAGGUUUCUGACUCUUGAUAUAAUUUGAUUUUCAUUAAAUGGAGCUACACUUAGUUUACUUUUGCUCUCUGACAAAACUGUAUAUCAACUCUAUGAGCUCAGGAACUCUUUAGAAGUCAAGAAUAUAGUGUACACAAUAGGUGCUCAGUAAAAUCAUUGAUUAAUGUUUUGACAAGAUCUAUAAAGCAAAUCAACAUAAAUCAAAGCAAAUUUCCUGGCUAAUUAAGAGAUAACCUCUUCAAUAUUCAAAUCUUCAGGUCUGUCAUUCUUCAAGAUUUUAAAAUUCUAUUUGUAGGUAUUUGCAUUUGUUUAAGAUAUAAGGAAGAUAUUUAGAGAAAAAAAUCAGCAUUUAGAAAGAGAAGGCAACACUUUUAUUCACCUGAAGGGAAAGUUUACUAGUGGAAUGACUGGUUGAGGAGGAGAGAGCAGCUUAACUGGCAAAACCCUCACUGUAGUAGGAGAAAAGGAAAUCCAGGGAAGAAGAAAGCGCCAUGAAAUGCCAUGAUGUUGGGCUUUGUUCUGGAUUUUGUAUAUUUCUGACAAGGGUGGAGAGAGCAGGACCUCACAGAAACAAAGCAAUAUUCAACACGGUUUAUAAGCUACUGAUAAAAUCUCUGCUCACUGGUGGUUUCCCAAGUGGACAACAACUUAGCAGGCCAAUCAAAGAGUGGUAAAAUUUCAUGUGGAGCUCUGAGACUUCUGUCUUAGUUGGCUGGAGUCAGGAACAAGGUGAACUGCCCACAAGCUAAGGGCAAGCAAUACCCAGGGGAAAGUAAACAUUUUUCUCAUUGCAGCAAAAGACUAAAUCUAGUUAUGCAAACAAUGACGACAGUGAGUGGGGAUACUGAUGGAUAAAAUACAUACUGUACAAUUCAUUCAAUCUUUGUGAAUCAUAGAAUCUGAAAAUAAUUUUUAUGUUAUAAUGAGUAAUUGAAAUAAAUUAAUACAAUUUUUGUUUUGUACAAAAAUAAUAGUGGCUAGAAGCAUAGGCUUUAUACCCCCUCCUUUCUUGGGUAAUUUCUUAUGGAAUGUACUUUCAUCCAUUCAACACUUAUUUAGCAAGCACUGUAUAUACUAGUGUAUAUACUAGAUCCAAUAGUAGGCCCUGGAGUUGUAACUGUGAAGUAAACAGACCCGAGCUCAGGUCUGGAAACUGGGCACAACAGUAUCGUGACUUUUUAUUAUAAUGACCUUCUCAACCUCCUAAUUAUCCAUCCUUAAUGGAUACCCUUGGUAGCUGCCCGUCUUCCUAGUCCCUUUGUAUGCCACAUUCUAUUAACUCUCUCCAUAGUUCUCUGCAGUACAGGCAUCCCCUCCUGCCACCCAGUAUGAUAAUUGUGCCUACCUCGCUUCUGAUCAGACCUAUUUCAAAGCAUCAGCAGCUUCAGGAUUUCUCUCUUGAGCCAAAGAAAAGUAGAGCUUUCUCUAACCUUCUUACAAAAGAGCACAUACAGCCCAGAUCCGUAGACCUUAGGUAAGACUUAGAUCUUAGUGUGUAUGGAAUGAACUGAGCACUAGCUGGUUCCUUGGAUUGGCUAAUGCUCUCCAAUUUCUCCUCUGUCCUGUCUUUCCCAGUUUACCAGAUAAAGCAGCUCCAGCUUCCUGUGGAUUUUGCAGCAUUGAGAACAAUCAUGUUGUGGGUUCCGAAGUACCAAACAUGGCUUCCGCUGCCCGGCCCCAGAGAGGCCCUGGAGAGUGAUAAAAUUUGAAUUAUUCAUAGCAAUUAGUACCAGCACUGCACUGGGACUCACAUUUCAGCCCAAGCUUUUAAGAGGGCUGACCUCGGUGGUCUGCUAUAUGAAAGAGCUUCAGUAAUCAUGAUCCAUCAUGGGAAAAAGAAGUUAUCAGGCAAGAGGAUGUGAGGGGAACAAUUAUAUGGAUGGAAAACAUCUUCAUUAUCAAAGAAACAGACUCGAGAAGGGGAUGUGCUGGCAUCACACCUACAAAGACGAGCAGGGAGGGGAACAGGACGAGGUAGAGCUGAAGAAAUGGGGCUGCAGAAGUUGUUGAAUUUGGCCCGAGUGGCCAGGCAGUCCCAGGCGCCAUUCACAGGUUGUGGACAAUUAGCAGAUGUUUCUUUUUCCAGUGUGGAAGCUGAGGAAUGGAACAAGAUGGCGGCAUGAGCAGAGACUUCUAAG